rnacentral:rRNA from 1 species
AAUCAACGCUGGCGGCGUGCCUAACACAUGCAAGUCGAACGAGAAAACGGGGGCAACCCUGUGAGUAAAGUGGCAGACGGGUGAGUAACACGUGAACAACCUACACUUGAGUGUGGGAUAACCCCGCGAAAGCAGGGCUAAUACCGCAUAAUAUCCUUCGGUCGCAUGACUGGGGGACCAAGGGCGAAAGCCGCUUGAGGAGGGGUUCGCGGCUGAUUAGCUAGUUGGUGAGGUAACGGCCCACCAAGGCUACGAUCAGUAGCCGGCCUGAGAGGGCGAACGGCCACACUGGAACUGAGACACGGUCCAGACUCCUACGGGUGGCUG